rnacentral:rRNA from 1 species
UAGGGAAUCUUCCGCAAUGGGCGAAAGCCUGACGGAGCAAUGCCGCGUGAGUGAAGAAGGCCUUCGGGUCGUAAAACUCUGUUAUAAGAGAAGAACAAAUUGUAGAGUAACUGCUACAGUCUUGACGGUAUCUUAUCAGAAAGCCACGGCUAACUACGUGCCAGCAGCCGCGGUAAUCCGUAGGUGGCAAGCGUUGUCCGGAUUUAUUGGGCGUAAAGGGAGCGCAGGUGGUUUCUUAAGUCUGAUGUGAAAGCCCACGGCUUAACCGUGGAGGGUCAUUGGAAACUGGGAAACUUGAGUACAGAAGAGGAAUGUGGAACUCCAUGUGUAGCGGUGGAAUGCGUAGAUAUAUGGAAGAACACCAGUGGCGAAGGCGACAUUCUGGUCUGUUACUGACACUGAGGCUCGAAAGCGUGGGGAGCAAACAGG